rnacentral:rRNA from 1 species
AUCAGCUCUUCGAGUGUGAACUUGUGGGCGUACGUGAGCUUUAACCGGCCUCGUUGUUUGCGAUGUUUGUGCUUUUUGGGUGUACUUUUUCGUAUGGUUGGCCAACGUCAGUCUCGGUUAUCAUAAAAUGAUUGGAGGAAUGUAGCUUCGAUCUUGUAUUGAAGUGUUAUAGCCUCUGGUAGAUGUGGUGAACGAAACUGAGGAUUGCAACGAAUACCCUUCGGGCUAUCCGUCUGACCUCUGAAAGUUGCUUGGGUGCCGAAAGCUUGCUUACGGUCAUCCAUGACGACGGUCAAAAGGUUAGAACGUGAUUAUAUUCGUUAAGGAUGUUGGCGCAAUGGCUUU